rnacentral:rRNA from 1 species
CCUACGGGGGGCAGCAGUGGGGAAUAUUGCACAAUGGGCGCAAGCCUGAUGCAGCCAUGCCGCGUGUGUGAAGAAGGCCGUCGGGUUGUAAAGCACUUUAAGCGGGGAGGAAGGCGGUGAGGUUAAUAACCUCAUCGAUUGACGUUACCCGCAGAAGAAGCACCGGCUAACUCCGUGCCAGCAGCCGCGGUAAUACGGAGGGUGCAAGCGUUAAUCGGAAUUACUGGGCGUAAAGCGCACGCAGGCGGUCUGUCAAGUCGGAUGUGAAAUCCCCGGGCUCAACCUGGGAACUGCAUUCGAAACUGGCAGGCUAGAGUCUUGUAGAGGGGGGUAGAAUUCCAGGUGUAGCGGUGAAAUGCGUAGAGAUCUGGAGGAAUACCGGUGGCGAAGGCGGCCCCCUGGACAAAGACUGACGCUCAGGUGCGAAAGCGUGGGGAGCAAACAGGAUUAGAUACCCGGGUAGUC